rnacentral:lncRNA from 1 species
CCAUCACAAUCAUAUGCCAAACGGAGACAAUCACAUAGAAUCCAUGAUUAAAAAAAAAAAAAAACACAACAAGCAUCAUCUGCAAUCAGAGAAAUCAACGAGAAAGACACAAUAAAAAAAUUGCCAGAAAUUUUGGCAAGUUCUAGUUUGGGUUUGAUUUUAGGAGUUUUCUGUGAAGGAAGAGAAGAAACGAACAGUAAAGGCUACCCAUGGUGACAACGUCAGAAACAAUGAGCUAUGACCAGUUUCUGGGUUUUUGAGUUAAGCCAAUUUUGUGUUGGUCUUGAAAGUUUAAAGGUAGUUUGGAAGAUUAAAGAGAGGCCGCUGGGGUUUGAGUCGGGAAAUAGAAGCAAGAGAAUAAAGAAGGUCUUGUUUUGGUUUAAAGAGAAGCACG